UCCAUUGUAGUACAACGGUCAGUAUAUCGCCCUCUCAUUCUAGAGAGGCCUCGCUCCGCGUAACAGCGUCCGGCGAAGGCCCGGGUUCGACUCCCGGCAAUGGAU